AUGUUUACGUUAGGUAUUUAACCCAUUUCACCGAAUAAAACAGGUUUGUCAUUUUAGUUUCGUGGAAAAUUCCUAUCAGUUAUCGUAUAAAAAGCCUUGAAAUACAAAUAAAUUUAACAGAACGAUAUCAAACUUAGACGGUGUGAAAUAGUUUGUAUUGAUUUCUGUAAAGCAAAAUGGCCGUACAACUACGUUUGGUAGUUCCUGGAAUAUUUUUUGUCUUGAUGUGUCUUAUUGGAACCGAGGCAUUGUGGUCUAAUAAUGCUGUUUGUGGUGGUAGAAGAUAUUCUACUACAUUUAAGAUGUGUUGUGGUGGACAAAUUAACUCCAGAUCUGGUAUAAGUCCAGCUUGUUGUGGUACGCGCAGUUACGAUUCAAAGUUUAGGAUGUGUUGUGGGGGACAAA